GAUAGACAAUGACCAAUGUGGAAAACAUUGUGAAUCCAUCACAAGAUGUGAGAACGUUGGACCAUACAGAGCAUCAUGGACAAGUGAUCAAAGUCAUCCCACCCAGGAGAAGCUGCUCAACUACUUGUUGGACAUUGAGAAGCCAGCGACAGAGUUGAUUGUGAAAACAAGAAAGAGUGUCCUGACACGUGCUGACUUUUGGAGCCUUGGUUUGAACAAUGAAAUGGACGCAACAAUUGGAAAUGCGUGCUUUGAGCUAAUCGAACAAAUUGCUCAAUCAAAGG